rnacentral:misc_RNA from 1 species
UCGAACAUGAGGGGAGACUGUCGCUGGCUUCGGAGCGAUCUGAAGCAUGUGCACGUUUCUUUUCUUACACACACACACCCGUGCACACGUUGUAGGCCCCUCGAGAGGGGGGGGACUACGUUUAUCUACAUCACAUCCUUACGGUAUGUAACAUGUAUGGCCAGAAGGUAUCUAGGCUGUCGCUCGACUCCGGUCGGGCCGCGGUCGAACAAAUAUUA